rnacentral:lncRNA from 1 species
GGAGGAGCGAUUAACGUGCCUCCAUUCUGGAACCCAGGAGAAUGGCUUGUCAGUCCUACCCUCAAUGGGCUUGUCAAUCAUCCUUACAUUCAGCUUUCACUAGCAGGAAGGAAGCUGCGUUUCGUUCAUGGACUGAAAGACGGUCUCAGCAGGUAUCCUGGCAGGUAGGAGCGUUGGGCCAGUAAGUGAAAGAUUGCUGGAUCGAAUCCCUGAGGCACCGGGGAUUUUGUCGUGAUGCCCCCGAGCAAGGCAGUUAACCCCCAACAACAACUGCUCCCCGGGCACCAAUGAUGUUGAUGAAGGC